rnacentral:siRNA from 1 species
UUGAUUUGGUGACAUGUCUGC